UCUACUCGAAGCUGCACCAAUAUCAAGCAACCCUGGUCACUAAAAACGGGUCCGAGAAAAACAAAUGGUUACCAUCUUGUCAAAAUCAUCAAAUGACCGAUCGCUGAAACAUCUUGUGAAAAGUGACGUGAUGUUCCAACACAAAGCCCCUCUCCUAAAUGAAUCCAACCGAAACCAACUAAUGUAAAUCAAAACACACUAACUACUUAAGGCCCAAUAAGUGGAGUGAAACACAUCAAUAAUGUGGUAAAGUGAUCUUACGGAACUCUCCUCAAGAAAACUUUUAAUAUUCCGAGAGAAGACUAUAUUACUGAUAGCAUGGCCUGCAAUGCAUGGUAUCAUAGAUUGAUAUAAUACUGUAGAUGGUAUAUAAGGGCAAGCAAGGCAGCGGUAAACGUGUUUAGAAAAAAAAAAGAAAAUAAAGAAGAGGAACACGAAGAAAAGAGUAUGAAUAACCUAAUAACAAAAGGCAGCGACAGCCAACUGACCCAAAAGUACGCGAACCUUGAUGAUUCUUUAGCAUACAUAAAAUAUGACAAUCUAGGGCUAAUUUUAUCAGUAACUGGUCUGUUGGCUACUAUAUUGCUACUGAUAGUUGUCGUGCGAUGUUGCUAUUUCAACUAUCGCUAUCAGAAAGACGUGAAAAACCGCAUGGAGUUGGAAGACAAGAUGAUUUCAAAGUUUGGAAUGAGGGAUUUUUAUUAAAGAAGGUUGAUGUAGCACGACACAAACACUGCAACAAGGACAACAAAACAGCUUGAAGUGGCUGAUGCUUGCACUUAGGUCAAAGCUGAAAUCGAAAGGAGUGGAGCGGAACGGUAAAUUGCUCAAUUGUCUCCCCUGACGAUUCGGACGUGGUUCAAGCGUUAUGUCAAGUUUAGAAGAGAGAUGCACAAUAAAGAGGACAAACGAUUUGAUAUUUGACACGGGGAGUAGCUGAUUUAAAAAAAAUCGAGCUACACGCAGGCCCUUAAAAAUCGAGGAAGCAAAGGCUGGCAGAAAAAUCACCACAUCCUUCGGGAAAAAAUCUCAAAUGGUCUGUCUCUUACCACUAUGAACAAUUAAUGAUGUCGUAGCAAUAACAUUUAUUAGAGGUUUGGUGAUUACGCCCAAAGCAAUGGUACGCACUAGACAGACAUAUUCUAUUGUCAUAAUUUAUUGGCAGUGAAUUGGUAAAGUAAUUAAAAAAAAUAAACAGGGGCGGAUCCAGGAUCUCCAAAAUGGACAGAUUUAUUGUUCUACCGCCGAUCCCCCUUUUUUUUUAUCUUGUUAUGAAAAUAGUGGUGCCGUGACCCGGUCCCACCCCUAGAUCCGCCCAUGGUAUGUCAUGGUAUGUCAAGGGCGGAUCUACGGGUGGGAUGACCUACCCUAUUUUCAGAUAUUUAGAUUAUGAUAAGCAGUAGGAGAGUCGGGCAGCUACAAGAACACAUGUAAUACUAAAGAAUCUUAUUUGAAAAAUAGUAAAUAUAUAACAAAAUUAAAUAUUUGAAAUCAUAAAUAAUAGUAAAGAACCUGGUUUGAAAAGUGAUUUUGGCGUUUCAAAGCUUACAAAAUUUCAUAUUUUCCCGGACAUCGGAGAACAUGCGAUUUCACACGCACACCAGUGCCGCAGCAGGCUUCGAAAUAUAUUGGGGCGGGGAGGGGGGGGGGAGGGGGGCAGAAUACAGAAACAUUAAGAGAAUAUUUGGGGGCAGCCCCUCCCAACUGGUCAUUUCCUUAUAAUUUAAAUAUUUGGGAGAGUCAGGUGCUUCUAGUGCCCAAUUCCCUUACGGCCCUGCGUUCAUGAUUUUUUUUUUUUUUUGCACUUCUGGACGAGGUUUACACACACUCGUGAAUUCAAAUGCACAUGAUAUGUAUGUAAUUUACGUCAAAUAAAAAUAUCCCUUCGUUA